AACGCACGCAGGCCCUGGCCAGUAGGAGACGUUGAUGGACUCACCGGGCCCUGAGCCCCGAGGGACGACCGGGCCAAGUCCGGAGCUAGAGACCAGCUGCCCGGAGCAGUGAGCUGCACCUCCGCUCUCCUUGUGGAAGCUCCAGGAAACGGGAAUGCUGGCCGUGAGGUGAGGUGAGGAAGUCCUUGCCAUGUCUACCACUGCUCUUUGCGGUGACCGUACCCCCAGGACGUCGCCUCCUCUUCGGAGCCCACAGGACCUGCUCAGAGUCGGCCUCCCUUUCUCGUCCGCCCUGGGCAGCACCCUUCAGAACCCCCUGCCCCCGAUGGCCUUUCUGAGCAGUUGCCUUGGCAGUUUCUUAUCCUUCACCCCUCCAAUGACCUCUGUCCAUCCAGCCCUCCCGGCUCCAGCUGUGCCCUGGGCAUUUGCCGCCACCGGGCCUCUCAGCGCUCACCACCCUGGUGCUGCAGACCCUCUCUGU